GAGUUUUCGGCUUAGUCUUGUAAUGUAUCAUCAAAAAUUGCAUUAUUUGCUUUAAGAAAACAGCUCACCUGGGCCACCCUAAUUUCUUAUCCGACCCGACCCAUCCGGAUCUUCUCUUGUUUAAAUUAAAGCAGUAGAAAAAGGAAAAUUUGGAAAUGCUUUUGUUCAAGUUUUGUCGUCGGAAUAUUACUCUUCACGGCGAACAAGGUAUAAUGUCGAGCAACUGGGGAAGUAACUCGAGGAGUAACAGCUCAGGAAGUAGUUCUAGAAGCGAUGUUGAGAACUCGUUUGAUGAUGAUGAGGAGCUUUUGCAGAUUGGGACAAGAUGUAUGGAGCUACGGAGAGAAAAGGAGAUGCUGAGAGAAUCUCAGUCACAGAGUGUUGAACUCGUCAGAAGGUUGGAACUGAAUGCGAAUUCGUUGUCAGAGUCUCGUUUAGAAGAUAAGAGAAGAAUUCAGUUGUUGGAGAAGGAAUUGUUGAAUUGCUACCAAGAGAUUGAUUAUUUGCGGGAUCAAGUAAAUUUCAGAGGCCAAGAAAUGAACGACCUGAGUGAACAUGUGCUUGAUCUUGAAGUCAAAGUAAAUGAAUCAGGGAGAUUGGAAGAAGAAGUUAACUAUUUGAGGGAGGAGUUGUGUACGUCGAAAUCUGAGCAGCUAUUGUUGUUGCAAGAACUGGAGAGCGCCGAAACUGAGCUGCAGUUGUCUUUGUUUUCUGUUGAGAAGCUGGAGGAGUCUAUCUCAUCCUUAACAUUGGAGUCUCAGUGCGAGAUAGAAAGCAUGAAACUCGAUAUAGCAGCGUUGGAGCAGGCGCUCUUUGAUGCGCACAAGUUUCAAGGAGAAAGCAUCCAAGAAAACGAUAAGUUAAGAGAAGUAGUCAAGGAGCUACAGUUGAAGUCUCAAGAGGCAGAAGAGAAUGCUGAGUGCUUAGAGAAGCAAAACAAAAAGCUGAUGGAGAGAUGUGUAGCCUCUGAAAGGAAUAUCAAAGAAUUAUGUCAAAGCUUUAAAGAACGGUUGGAAAGUGAAGGUGAAGCAGCUGUAAAUGCAGAGUGUUUCUACACUGAAUUAAACCAUAUGCUUCCUUUACCUGACGAAACCCGGGAAUGUUUCCAUGAGAUCAUCAAGAAAUUAGAGGUUUCACGAGAUGUGAAACUGAGAGACAAAAUGGAAGAUAUGGCAAGACAGAUACUUCAAUACAAAGAUCUUGUAAAGCAGCUCAAGGAUGAGUUGAAAGAAGAGAAACUAAAGGCCAAAGAAGAAGCAGAGGACUUAACACAAGAGAUGGCUGAAUUAAGAUAUAAAAUGACAUGUUUAUUGGAGGAAGAAUGCAAGCGGCGUGCAUGCAUCGAACAAGCAUCAUUACAGAGAAUAGCCAAUCUAGAGGCACAGAUCAAGAGAGAGAAGAACAAGAAGUCCUCAACUUGCUUAGUUCCUCUUUCUGCCGUGUAAAACAACUAAGGUUCAAGUUAAACUUGGAAUCACAGUUAAUGCCUCAGAGAAGCCUUAAGCUAUAUAAGAGAUCUGGAGAAAUUGAGAUGAAUCCUACUCUAGAUAAAUGUUGAAAGCUGUGGAACUGAAAGCCAAUAAAAAAGCUUCUUACUGUUUGACUCUAUUUGAUGGGCCUGUGAUGAGCCGAGUUUAUUUGAUGGCCCAUUUUCUCUCUUUUUAAUUUCUUGUAAAAAUAAAAAUAUCUUGAAGAGUUUUUGUAUCAUCAAGUAUGUGCAACGUCUUGUAAUAUUGUUGAUGAUGCAAAGUGAUGAUUGAAUGGGUCAA